CCUUUUAGGCGGUGGUGCCCUAAACAUGCAUGUCGAACGGGAAUCUUCGGAUUCUAGUGGCGGACGGGUGAGUAACGCGUAAGAAUCUAACUUCAGGACGGGGACAACAGUCGGAAACGACUGCUAAUACCCGAUAUGCCGCGAGGUGAAACCUAAUUGGCCUGAAGAAGAGCUUGCGUCUGAUUAGCUAGUUGGUGGGGUAAGAGCCUACCAAGGCGACGAUCAGUAGCUGGUCUGAGAGGAUGAGCAGCCACACUGGGACUGAGACACGGCCCAGACUCCUACGGGAGGCAGCAGUGGGGAAUUUUCCGCAAUGGGCGAAAGCCUGACGGAGCAACGCCGCGUGAGGGAGGAAGGUCUUUGGAUUGUAAACCUCUUUUCUCAAGGAAGAAGUUCUGACGGUACUUGAGGAAUCAGCCUCGGCUAACUCCGUGCCAGCAGCCGCGGUAAUACGGGGGAGGCAAGCGUUAUCCGGAAUUAUUGGGCGUAAAGCGUCCGCAGGUGGUCAGCCAAGUCUGCUGUCAAAUCAGGUUGCUUAACGACCUAAAGGCGGUGGAAACUGGCAGACUAGAGAGCAGUAGGGGUAGCAGGAAUUCCCAGUGUAGCGGUGAAAUGCGUAGAGAUUGGGAAGAACAUCGGUGGCGAAAGCGUGCUACUGGGCUGUAUCUGACACUCAGGGACGAAAGCUAGGGGAGCGAAAGGGAUUAGAUACCCCUGUAGUCCUAGCCGUAAACGAUGGAUACUAGGCGUGGCUUGUAUCGACCCGAGCCGUGCCGAAGCUAACGCGUUAAGUAUCCCGCCUGGGGGAGUACGCACGCAAGUGUGAAACUCAAAGGAAUUGACGG
rnacentral:rRNA from 1 species